rnacentral:rRNA from 1 species
UACAGAGGUCUCAAGCGUUGUUCGGAUUUAUUGGGCGUAAAGGGUGCGUAGGCGGCAGGGUGAGUUAGGUGUGAAAUGCCAAGGCUUAACCUUGGCACUGCAUUUAAUACUGCCCCGCUUGAGCGCUAGCGAGGGGGCUGGAAUUUACGGUGUAGCAGUGAAAUGCGUAGAUAUCGUAAGGAAGACCAGUGGCGAAAGCGAGCCCCUAGAUAGCUGCUGACGCUGAGGCACGAAAGCUAGGGGAGCAAACGGG